ACUCAAAUGAAUUGACGGGGGCCCGCACAAGCGGUGGAGCAUGUGGUUUAAUUCGACGCAACGCGAAGAACCUUACCUGGGCUUGACAUCCCCGGAACGCUCUUGAAAGAGAGGGGUGCCCCGCAAGGGGAGCCGGGAGACAGGUGCUGCAUGGCUGUCGUCAGCUCGUGUCGUGAGAUGUUGGGUUAAGUCCCGCAACGAGCGCAACCCUUGUCGUCAGUUGCCAUCAUUAAGUUGGGCACUCUGGCGAGACUGCCGGUGAUAAACCGGAGGAAGGUGGGGAUGACGUCAAGUCCUCAUGGCCUUUAUGCCCAGGGCUACACACGUGCUACAAUGGCCGGUACAGAACGAUGCCAACCCGCAAGGGGGAGCAAAUCGGCAAAAACCGGUCCCAGUUCAGAUUGGAGUCUGCAACUCGACUCCAUGAAGGUGGAAUCGCUAGUAAUCGAGGAUCAGCACGCCUCGGUGAAUACGUUCCCGGGCCUUGCACACACCGCCCGU
rnacentral:rRNA from 1 species